UACGUAGGGUCCGAGCGUUGUCCGGAAUUAUUGGGCGUAAAGAGCUCGUAGGCGGUUUGUCGCGUCUGCUGUGAAAUCCCGAGGCUCAACCUCGGGCCUGCAGUGGGUACGGGCAGACUGGAGUGCGGUAGGGGAGAAUGGAAUUCCUGGUGUAGCGGUGGAAUGCGCAGAUAUCAGGAGGAACACCGAUGGCGAAGGCAGGUCACUGGGCCGCAACUGACGCUGAGGAGCGAAAGCAUGGGGAGCGAACAGG
rnacentral:rRNA from 1 species